AGGGACUCCAGCCAUAUCGCGACUGAUCAGGCUAAGUGACAUGCAACGAAGCAGGCAGUAACUCUUCUUGCCCGUUCACUCGAUGCCAGCCCCUGGAUGCCAGGUGUUGUACUGUACUACUGUACUUUUCAAGAGUGGCUGCACCAUGUUGCACUUCCAUCAGCCAUGAAUGAGAGUUCCUGUUGCUCCACAUCCUCACCAGCAUU